rnacentral:lncRNA from 1 species
GAUUUUGCAUCAGCGAUUACAAGAAAGAAACCCCCCAACAACCUCUUCCCCCGAUCACUAGACGGGGCGCGCAAAGGGGGAUCAUGCAAAAGAAGCCAGCUCAGGAAGACAUUAGAAAGUUGAUCUCAAUAAUACAACAACAGGUUGGUACACAAGUAAUCAGUAUCUGCGUGACAGUGAUGGCGACAUUGUAGACUAUACACAAGAGGACCACAUGCCCCACCUCCCAAGCUGGAGGUACCUGGCAUAGUGAAUCUAUUGUUUUCGUUUAAGAUUUGUGUUUUGGACUUUUUCAAAGAUGUGAAGCAGCAUUAAUCUGAAAUUGGAAUUGCAAACAGACCAGAAGGAAUUAGUCCUUGUAAUGUAAAUGGACAAGCUGAAUAAUAACGACUUCUAGCAAUUUUUUCCCCGUACUUGGAAUAUCUCAGGGUCUACAAGUUUAUGGUUUUUGUGCCUGUAAGAU